rnacentral:rRNA from 1 species
AGGAUUCCCCUAGUAACGGCGAGUGAAGCGGGAAGAGCUCAAGCUUAAAAUCUCCGUGCAAGUUUUGCGCGGCGAAUUGUAGUCUAUAGAGGCGUGGUCAGCGUGGGCGCUCGGGGCAAGUUCCUUGGAAGAGGACAGCAUGGAGGGUGAUACUCCCGUUCAUCCCUGAGUUGCUCGUGCGUACGACCCGUGUUCUUUGAGUCGCGUUGUUUGGGAAUGCAGCGCAAAGUAGGUGGUAAAUUCCAUCUAAAGCUAAAUAUUGGUGCGAGACCGAUAGCGAACAAGUACCGUGAGGGAAAGAUGAAAAGAACUUUGAAAAGAGAGUUAAAGAGUACCUGAAACUGCUGAAAGGGAACCGAAUCGUUUCCAGUGUCUAUAAUCCGUGGCAUAUUUCAUUGGCGAGUGUGUGCGUGCGUGUGCUGUGGCAGCGGCUUUUUUGGCUGCGCUCGGCGUGUGUGCUGUGUGUGCUUGCUGGUGCCCUGUGCUGCGGUGGGACGUCAAGGUCAGUUCGUAUGCUGCGGGAAAUGGCUGCCGAGGAGGUAGGGCUUACGCUCCGCGUUUGUCUAUUAUAUCUUGGUGGACGAGUCGUCGCGGUUGGGACUGAGGUGCCUACAACGUGCUUUUGAGUGGUCGUGUGUCUCCGUGUGCGCCGUGUGCGGAUAGCUUGCUAUGCGUGUGUGGUUGUGUGUGGAUUGAUGCGUGUCUUAACU